GGUCCCACCACCACUUGCAUCUAGUAAACAGAAGACAGCCAAUAAACACACAGUUUUACAUAAAACAAUCUUCCACCAGAGAACAUGGACCGACAAAGGAUCUGGGAUUGGUUCUUGCCUCACCAGGCUAGGUUUGGAUGCUUCUACAGGGCAGCCAUGCUGAAAGUGAACAGUUUAUUGUCAUUUGUAUUAAACCUUUAUUUAACCAA